rnacentral:rRNA from 2 species
UUAUAUGGUCAAGAAGAGAAGCGCAAACGGUGGAUGCCUUGGCAGUAAGAGGCGAAGAAGGACGUGGAAUCCUGCGAAAAGCUAUGGGGAGCUGGAAACGAGCGAUGAGCCAUAGAUGUCCGAAUGGGGGAACCCGGCUGCAGCGAUGCGGUCAUUUGCAUUUGAAUACAUAGGAUGCAAAGGCGAACUCGGGGAACUGAAACAUCUAAGUACCCGAAGGAAAAGAAAUCAAGAGAGAUUCUCCAAGUAGCGGCGAGCGAACGGGGAGGAGCCUGGCGUGAUUUAUUAUUGAACUGAGUAGAACAAUUUGGGAAAGUUGGCGAUAGAGGGUGAAAGCCCCGUAUACGAAGGUUUGAUGAGGAACUAGGCACGCGAACAAGUAGGCCGGGACACGUGAAAUCCUGGUUGAAGAUGGGUGGACCAUCAUCCAAGGCUAAAUACUACUUACUGACCGAUAGUGAACCAGUACCGUGAGGGAAAGGUGAAAAGAACCCCGGAGAGGGGAGUGAAAUAGAAUCUGAAACCGUUUGCGUACAAGCAGUGGGAGCAUGGUUUAGGCUGUGUGACUGCGUACCUUUUGUAUAAUGGGUCAGCGAGUUACUUUCAGUGGCGAGGUUAACUGAAUAAGGGAGCCGUAGAGAAAUCGAGUCUGAAUAGGGCGAUAGUCGCUGGGAGUAGACCCGAAACCGGGCGAUCUAGCCAUGUGCAGGAUGAAGGUUGGGUAACACCAACUGGAGGUCCGAACCGGGUAAUGUUGAAAAAUUAUCGGAUGACGUGUGGCUAGGAGUGAAAGGCUAAUCAAGCCCGGAGAUAGCUGGUUCUCCCCGAAAGCUAUUUAGGUAGCGCCUCGUGAAUGAUUACUGGGGGUAGAGCACUGUUUCGGCUAGGGGGCUGUCAUGGCUUACCAAACCGAUGCAAACUCCGAAUACCGGCUAAUUGAAUCACGGGAGACACACGGCGGGUGCUAACGUCCGUCGUGGAGAGGGAAACAACCCAGACCGCCAGCUAAGGUCCCCAAGUACUAGUUAAGUGGGAAACGAUGUGGGAAGGCAUAGACAGCCAGGAGGUUGGCUUAGAAGCAGCCACCCUUUAAAGAAAGCGUAAUAGCUCACUGGUCGAGUCGGCCUGCGCGGAAGAUGUAACGGGGCUAAAACUAGUCACCGAAGCUGCGGAUGUGCGCGAAGGCGCACGUGGUAGGGGAGCGUUCUGUAGGCUGAUGAAGGUGCAUUGAGAAGUGUGCUGGAGGUAUCAGAAGUGCGAAUGCUGACAUGAGUAACGAUAAUGUGGGUGAAAAGCCCACACGCCGGAAGUCCCAGGUUUCCUGCACGACGUUAAUCGGAGCAGGGUGAGUCGGCCCCUAAGGCGAGGCUGAAGAGCGUAGUCGAUGGGAACCAGGUUAAUAUUCCUGGACUUUUUAUAAGUGGUGAAGUGGGGACGAAGAAGGCUAGGUGAGCCAGGCGUUGGUUGUCCUGGUACUUGCAUGUAGGGGGGAAGACUUGGCAAAUCCGGUUUUCCAUAACUCUGAGGUGCGAAGUGGUUCUGACCUUUUGGUACAGAGAAGUCAUUGAUGCCCGGCUUCCAGGAAAAGCUGCUAGCCAUAACUUAUAGAGAACCGUACCGCAAACCGACACAGGUGGACAGGUAGAGAAUACUAAGGCGCUUGAGAGAACUCGGGUGAAGGAACUAGGCAAAAUGGUACCGUAACUUCGGGAGAAGGUACGCCCUUUCUGGUGAUGGGAUUUACUUUCAGAGCUGGAGAGGGCCGCAGAGACCAGGUGGCUGCGACUGUUUAUUAAAAACACAGCACUCUGCAAAUUCGUAAGAAGACGUAUAGGGUGUGACGCCUGCCCGGUGCCGGAAGGUUAAUUGAUGGGGUUAUCUUCGGAGAAGCUCUUGAUCGAAGCCCCGGUAAACGGCGGCCGUAACUAUAACGGUCCUAAGGUAGCGAAAUUCCUUGUCGGGUAAGUUCCGACCUGCACGAAUGGCGUAACGAUGGCCACACUGUCUCCACCCGAGACUCAGUGAAAUUGAAAUCGCUGUGAAGAUGCAGUGUACCCGCGGCUAGACGGAAAGACCCCGUGAACCUUUACUAUAGUUUUGCACUGGACUUUGAUGAUGACUGUGUAGGAUA